rnacentral:rRNA from 1 species
UCCCCUCCUUUUGAAGUUUGAUUUCUGGCUCAGGACGAACGCUGGCGGCGUGCCUAAUACAUGCAAGUUGAGCGCUGAAGGUUGGUACUUGUACCAACUGGAUGAGCAGCGAACGGGUGAGUAACGCGUGGGGAAUCUGCCUUUGAGCGGGGGACAACAUUUGGAAACGAAUGCUAAUACCGCAUAAAAACUUUAAACACAAGUUUUAAGUUUGAAAGAUGCAAUUGCAUCACUCAGAGAUGAUCCCGCGUUGUAUUAGCUAGUUGGUGAGGUAAAGGCUCACCAAGGCGAUGAUACAUAGCCGACCUGAGAGGGUGAUCGGCCACAUUGGGACUGAGACACGGCCCAAACUCCUACGGGAGGCAGCAGUAGGGAAUCUUCGGCAAUGGACGAAAGUCUGACCGAGCAACGCCGCGUGAGUGAAGAAGGUUUUCGGAUCGUAAAACUCUGUUGGUAGAGAAGAACGUUGGUGAGAGUGGAAAGCUCAUCAAGUGACGGUAACUACCCAGAAAGGGACGGCUAACUACGUGCCAGCAGCCGCGGUAAUACGUAGGUCCCGAGCGUUGUCCGGAUUUAUUGGGCGUAAAGCGAGCGCAGGUGGUUUAUUAAGUCUGGUGUAAAAGGCAGUGGCUCAACCAUUGUAUGCAUUGGAAACUGGUAGACUUGAGUGCAGGAGAGGAGAGUGGAAUUCCAUGUGUAGCGGUGAAAUGCGUAGAUAUAUGGAGGAACACCGGUGGCGAAAGCGGCUCUCUGGCCUGUAACUGACACUGAGGCUCGAAAGCGUGGGGAGCAAACAGGAUUAGAUACCCUGGUAGUCCACGCCGUAAACGAUGAGUGCUAGAUGUAGGGAGCUAUAAGUUCUCUGUAUCGCAGCUAACGCAAUAAGCACUCCCCGCCCUGGGGAGUCCCCG